GUGGGGAAUUUUGGACAAUGGGCGCAAGCCUGAUCCAGCCAUUCCGCGUGCAGGAUGAAGGCCUUCGGGUUGUAAACUGCUUUUGUACGGAACGAAAAGCCUCUGGUUAAUACCCGGGGGUCAUGACGGUACCGUAAGAAUAAGCACCGGCUAACUACGUGCCAGCAGCCGCGGUAAUACGUAGGGUGCGAGCGUUAAUCGGAAUUACUGGGCGUAAAGCGUGCGCAGGCGGUGAUGUAAGACAGUUGUGAAAUCCCCGGGCUCAACCUGGGAACUGCAUCUGUGACUGCAUUGCUGGAGUGCGGCAGAGGGGGAUGGAAUUCCGCGUGUAGCAGUGAAAUGCGUAGAUAUCGAGAGGAAUACCAAAGGCGUAGGCAGGUCACUGGACAGUUACUGACACUGAGGCACGAAGGCCAGGGGAGCGAACGGGAUUAGAAACCCCGGUAGUCC
rnacentral:rRNA from 1 species